CCCAGAACUCUAAGUGUGUCAUGUCCUCGGAGCCCCACCCUGAGACACCGGGACCACUCUCCUCAUCAUACAAGGUUUCAGCCUCACUGAGAACCUCUCCGUAACCCCGAGCAAGUCACCGCCACAUCUUUCUGGGUCUUGGUUCCCUCUUCUGUCAAAUGGGGAGAGGGGUUGGAGUCAACCCUUCAGGUCUCUCUCAGGAGGAACCUGAAUGACUCUAGGUGUGAGACCAGUGAUGGCUGACAGUCUGUCUAUCUUCCCCCAUCCCCUCUCUUCCCCCUCGAUCUCCAGCCUCAGGAAGUACCUGCUGAAUCAACACGGAGGGGUGGACCAGAAGGCCCUGGAAGGCAGUUCCAAUAUCCAGAAGGGCUCAGGACCCCUCAGACAUACGCAGGUCAGGGCUGAAGGACCUUUGGGGGUCAUGAGGGAUAGCCUGCCCCUUUUACAGGUGGGUAGACUGAGGCCCAGGGAGGACAAGCAGACUAGGAUGGAAGCCCAGGUUCCUCGCUCCUGGCCCCCAAGGAAAGGCUGGCUCCCAUUCUCCUGCUGACCUCAUGGUCUCCUGCCUCCUGCUCUAGUGACUGGCUUCCCAGGAGGGCAGGCUCCCCUCCUCUCUGCCCUCUGCUCUCCCCAGAGCCCUGGCUCUGAUGCCCUGGCUUUGAUCCUAGGACCCUGCUUGGACCCAGGAGGCUGCAGCCCCACUCGGACAGCGGAAGCAGAACGGGGGUUUGUCUUCCACGAGAGCCCGUCUGUUGGCGGCGGGGUUGGGCUCGGUUGGCACAGUGAAGCGUUGUUUCCUUGAAUACACAAUCUGCAGCUUUCCACCCUCACCCGGGCCCUGGCAGGCAGCACUUGCUUCCCUAGAGGUCCAGCUUCCUGGCCCCUGCCUGCCCCAUCAGCCCUCCUAGAACCCUGGCAAGAAGUGCAGGUGCCAAGGGGUAGCUUGGAGGGGUCCAGCUCCCCUCAGUCGCCCUCAGAGUACCUCUCAUCAAACUAGACCAGAAACAGCCUAUGUAAAAAAAAGUGAGUUUGCUGCGCAAAUGAAGCUUCCAGACUGUUCCCUCAGCUGCAUGCCACUUCCAACCACACUGCAGCCUCCCAAGUCCCGCUCAUUUGAAGUGUCUGGGUUCUCCCAGAACAGCUCCAUCUUUGUUUUGGUGGCCAGUGGCAGGGAAGCUGUGGAAGCCCAGGAGAAGGCAGGCUCUGGGGGAAAGGAGAGACGGGGGCUGGGGUUGGGGACAUGAAUGGACAAUCCGCCACGAACACGGAAGCGGGUGUUGGAGAAGGUUUUCCAACAUGAAAGUAGAUGUCUGUGAUGGGAAACCCGGAAGGGGAAGAGCCCGGGAUUUGGAGUCACAGACCUGGGUUUCAGUCCUGGCUCUAUCAUUUUCUAGCUGUGUGGUCUUGGCGAGUUAUUUAACACCCUUUGUCUGCACAAAGGUGACGAAGAGCUCUGUGUCACAGGGCUGUUUGAGGGACCUGGUGAGCGCCUCAGCACUAUCAGCACAGGGAUCUCCGUGGUGUCUGAAUCAGCUCUGCACUGCCCGAUGGGGGCAGUGACAGACAGUGAUCCAUACCCACCCCUGCGUCUGCCCACCCAGGAGCAUUCACGUUACUCUUCCAGGAAUCCUGGAAAUCCUGCUCUCCCAAUCUCGCCAGUCUUCUGCUGGGAAGAAACUUUAGAAGAACUCCAACCAAACACCGUGGAGCCAAGGACGUGGGCGCCCUGGGACUUUCUUGAAGAGGUUCUGGGCCCUGGGACUUUCUCAAAGAGGUUCAGAGGGGCCGGGGGUCAAGGACUUGAUUUUCCCCCAGAAGGACCUUGGGAAAGUAUGGGACUCCUCAGCCACCCGCAACUGGGAACCAGAAAUCCUUCCCCCUGCCUUGGGGCCAAAUGCAGAAGCUGCUGCAAGCUGUGGUGAGUAGGGUCAGAGCCUUUCUCAAACAGUGCAGUUGCAAAACGCCCCUUCCUGGGCUUCCGGCUUGAUGUUGGGGCACUGACAGCUGCAUGUGGCUGAGGCUGACACCCCUGGUCUGCCCCCACCUCCUGCCCAGCCAAGCGGGAGCCGGCCUUGCCGCAUCCCUCCCUCAGCCCUGGGCUGCCUGUGCCAGGUGGGGCUAGACCUCCUGGCUCACCCCCAAGACUCAGCCUCAGGCCAGUUCUAUCCCCUUCCAGAACCACUCCAGACCAGCACCCAGAUCGUGGAACGAGGCUGUUCCCUCUCCAGGAGCCAGGGGCAGGGGGACAGGGAACAGGAGGUGGGGAAAGCUACCAAAGGGAGGGGCACUGGCACCUUCCCCAUCCCCUGGGCACACACAUGGCUGGGAGAGAGUGGCUGUGCAUCUUAGACCCAACAGAGUGGGACCCAGGGAUGGGCCGGAGGGAGCUGGGCCCUCUCUCCCUAGCCCCUCCACAGAGACAUUAAGAUUGUUUUUGUGGGGGGACAGGGGGAUGAGCCCACACGCCUGGGGGUGCCCAUCCACCCUGGUGAGGGCACACAGUGUGGAUCUGAUGGAAUAAAGGGUAGGGGUGGGGGUAACAGGGCAAGUCACAUAGGAAGGGGCCCCUUUUGACCAGGGUGGGUGUGGGACAUGGGGGGUCCCUGUGGGGAGGGAAGGGGAUAUACGGAGUGGGGAGGAGAGAUGGGGGGCCUUGCGACAGAAGCAGGGGAGCGGUGACUGCAAGCUGCUGGGUGCACGGGGGUGGGGCGGGCAGGAGCGGGAGGGAGGCCUUCCAAACCCGGAGGGGACUCGGCCCACAGGGACGACUGGAGUGAGGUUUACACCAGAGGGGCAACAGGGGCCGAGGGGUCCCUUCCUAAGGAGACCACUUGUGAGUGAAGGAUUUGGGUCCUGGCUAAUGAGUGGGUGGGGAUGGAAAGGGCAAGUCUUUGCCCCCAGUUUGCUGGUAGACGCUAAGUAACUGGAGAGGAAGUUGGGGGGAUCCCUGCCCAGAACCCACCUUGAGGGAGACCUGAGAUCGCAGAGGAAACGAAAAGACCUUAAGGGAGGGAAUGUGGUUGGCAUGUGGUGUCGAGGGGCACUGGGGUGGGUAUCUUUGGCCAGCGUGUGUUGGGGUGGGGGUGGGGAACGCGAGUAGCUGGGAUCGGGGAAGGAAGGCCGCUGGGUCCUCAGCCUCGGUGUGUGCGGUGUGGGGUGGUGGAGAAGCCCCACUAACAGCGCGGAGGGCCCGGGACCCACACGUGUGGUGGUGGGGGUGGGGCUCGCGGGGCCUGGCGAUUAUCUGGAAGGAAGCCUGGGGUCCCCCACUCUGUGGACGCGUCUAUGGUGUACCGGAGGCAGCACAAAUACGAGUCUCCGCCGCGUGCCAGGGGCCGGGGGUCCCCCAGACUAACGUGCGCGGUGAGAUGCCGGGUCUCGAUCUGGAAGGGGCCGCCGGGUCCCCAACCCCGGAGGGCUGCUGAACGCCGGAGCCUUACAACUGUUAAACUCAGGCAGAGCUCGGGAAAUGCUGCCCGGAUGGGUGACUGAUGGAGAGGGGCUACCACUCUUCCAGCUAAACUCCGCUCUGGUUGGGACCCAGCAAUUAUUUUCCAUAGCGAAGUGUUAAUAAAAUAUCUGUUACUCCCAACACAACCUCCUGGGGGAAGGGACCUGUCUGUCUGCUUCAACUUUGGAUCCUCAGUGCCCACAUCAGGAUACCUGGCCUGAGAGCAUCCGGUGACCCAGUUUUAGGUCUCAAGGUCACUGCCAAGAAAGAGAAGCUGCUAAAGUGACACCUCUGUGCACCCACAUGACUUAACACAAAAGUUAACAGGAGCUCUUCAAAAACAAGCCUCUCGAGUGUCUGUCUCCUGUUUUCCCUGAGGACAGCAUCAGUGGCAUCAGAUAGGGGUUGGGGCUGGGUGACCUGCUGGUCCUCAGCCAUCACUGUGGCCCAGAGGUCAUUUAAGCAGCUCUCUGCUUAGCAGACAGGCAGAGGGAAUAGAUGGAAGGUACAGGUAAACACUGCAUGUGGCCACCGCGAGGAUACCCCGGAGCCUGGGAAACAGACAGGGACGUCGUAAAACCAACACAUAAUGGACCAGUGCAGAGACAGGCAAAACCAGUCAGAAGAAAUAGGAUGGUGCCUAGCCCAGGGACACCUGACUUAAGAGAGGGUCCUGCCGGUAUUACCCUGGAGGAAGGAAUGCUGCACAGAGGCCGAGAGGAAUUUGAACAGACUGGCCUUGCUGGGUUUUUAUCUCUUUUUGUCCAAUCCCAUUUUGACACAGUUGUCCAUGCUCCAAUCAUGCUUAUCCAAUGAAGUUUCCAUAACAGGCCUGAGAGGACAGGGUUCAGGAGCUUCCGGACAGCUGAGCAGGUGGAGGUUCCUGGAGGGUGGUGUGCCAGGGAGGGUGUGGAAGCUCUGCCCCUUCCCCCAUACCUUGUCCUAUGCAUUCCUUUAUCUGCAUCCUUCAUUUUAUUUUAUUUUUUUUUGAGACGGAGUCUUGCUCUUGUCGUCCAGGCUGGAAUGCAGUGGUGCGCGA
rnacentral:lncRNA from 1 species